UACGUAGGGGGCAAGCGUUGUCCGGAAUCAUUGGGCGUAAAGAGCGUGUAGGCGGCCCGGUAAGUCCGCUGUGAAAGUCGGGGGCUCAACCCUCGAAAGCCGGUGGAUACUGUCGGGCUAGAGUGCGGAAGAGGCGAGUGGAAUUCCUGGUGUAGCGGUGAAAUGCGCAGAUAUCAGGAGGAACACCGAUUGCGAAGGCAGCUCGCUGGGACGUAACUGACACUGAUGAGCGAAAGCCAGGGGAGCAAACGGG
rnacentral:rRNA from 1 species